rnacentral:rRNA from 1 species
GAGUUUGAUCGUGCUCAGGACGAACGCUGGCGGCGUGCUUAACACAUGCAAGUCGAACGAGAAUCUACUGAAAGAGUUUUCGGACAAUGGAAGUAGAGGAAAGUGGCGGACGGGUGAGUAACGCGUGAGGAACCUGCCUUGAAGAGGGGGACAACAGUUGGAAACGACUGCUAAUACCGCAUGAUGCAUAAGGGUCGCAUGAUUCUUAUGCCAAAGAUUUAUCGCUUCAAGAUGGCCUCGCGUCUGAUUAGCUAGUUGGCGGGGUAACGGCCCACCAAGGCGACGAUCAGUAGCCGGACUGAGAGGUUGAACGGCCACAUUGGGACUGAGAUACGGCCCAGACUCCUACGGGAGGCAGCAGUGGGGAAUAUUGGGCAAUGGGCGCAAGCCUGACCCAGCAACGCCGCGUGAAGGAAGAAGGCUUUCGGUAUGUAAACUUCUAUCAGCAGGGAAGAAAAUAGACGGUACCUGACUAAGAAAGCCCGGCUAACUACGUGCCAGCCGCCGCGGUAAC